GACGAACGCUGGCGGCGUGCCUAAUACAUGCAAGUAGAACGCUGAAGGAGGAGCUUGCUUCUCUGGAUGAGUUGCGAACGGGUGAGUAACGCGUAGGUAACCUGCCUGGUAGCGGGGGAUAACUAUUGGAAACGAUAGCUAAUACCGCAUAACAGUAGAUGUUGCAUGACAUUUGCUUAAAAGGUGCAAUUGCAUCACUACCAGAUGGACCUGCGUUGUAUUAGCUAGUUGGUGGGGUAACGGCUCACCAAGGCGACGAUACAUAGCCGACCUGAGAGGGUGAUCGGCCACACUGGGACUGAGACACGGCCCAGACUCCUACGGGAGGCAGCAGUAGGGAAUCUUCGGCAAUGGACGGAAGUCUGACCGAGCAACGCCGCGUGAGUGAAGAAGGUUUUCGGAUCGUAAAGCUCUGUUGUAAGAGAAGAACGAGUGUGAGAGUGGAAAGUUCACACUGUGACGGUAUCUACCAGA
rnacentral:rRNA from 1 species